rnacentral:rRNA from 1 species
ACCGGCGGCUCUCGUGGUGGCCAAGAAGAAGGGGCUUAAAGCGUUCGUAGCUGGCUUGUUAAGUCUCUGGGGAAAUCUUCCGGCUCAACCGGAAGGCGUCUCAGGGAUACUGGCAGGCUAGGGACCGGAAGAGGUGAGAGGUACUCCAGGGGUAGGAGUGAAAUCCUGUAAUCCUUGGGGGACCACCUGUGGCGAAGGCGUCUCACCAGGACGGCUCCGACAGUGAGGAACGAAAGCUGGGGGAGCAAACCA